rnacentral:rRNA from 1 species
UACAUGGGGUGCAAACGUUGCUCGGAAUCACUGGGCGUAAAGCGCACGUAGGCGGAUUGUUAAGUCAGGGGUGAAAUCCUGGAGCUCAACUCCAGAACUGCCUUUGAUACUGGCGAUCUUGAGUCCGGGAGAGGUGAGUGGAACUGCGAGUGUAGAGGUGAAAUUCGUAGAUAUUCGCAAGAACACCAGUGGCGAAGGCGGCUCACUGGCCCGGUACUGACGCUGAGGUGCGAAAGCGUGGGGAGCAAACAGG